rnacentral:rRNA from 1 species
UACGUAGGGACCAAGCGUUGUUCGGAUUUACUGGGCGUAAAGGGCGCGUAGGCGGCAAUUCAAGUCAUCUGUGAAAUCUCCGGGCUUAACCCGGAACGGUCAGAUGAUACUGCUUUGCUAGAGUGCGGAAGGGGCAAUCGGAAUUCUUGGUGUAGCGGUGAAAUGCGUAGAUAUCAAGAGGAACACCUGAGGUGAAGACGGGUUGCUGGGCCGACACUGACGCUGAGGUGCGAAAGCGUGGGGGAGCAAACAGG